CCUACGGGCGGCAGCAGUGAGUAAUAUUGGUCAAUGGCCGGGAGGCUGAACCAGCCAAGUCGCGUGAGGGAAGACGGCCCUACGGGGUGUAAACCUCUUUUGUCAGGGAGCAAGGUGCAGGUCGGGACCUGCUGUGAGAGUACCUGAAGAAAAAGCAUCGGCUAACUCCGUUCCAGCAUCCGCGGUACUACGGGGGAUGCGAACGUUAUCCGGAUUUAUUGGGUUUAAAGGGUGCGAAGGCGGAGGCACAGGUCAGCGGUAAAAUAGCGGGGCUCAACCCCGCUCCGCCGUUGAAACUGUGUCCCUUGAGUGCGCGAAGGGUAGGUGGAAUGCGUGGUGUAGCGGUGAAAUGCAUAGAUAUCACGCAGAACUCCGAUCGCGAAGGCAGCCUACCGGCGCGCAACUGACGCUCAUGCACGAAAGCGUGGGUAUCGAACAAGAUUAGAUACCCUAGUAGUC
rnacentral:rRNA from 1 species